AUACGAAAGGUGCAAGCGUUAAUCGGAAUUACUGGGCGUAAAGCGCGCGUAGGCGGUUAAUUAAGUCAGCUGUGAAAGCCCAGGGCUCAACCUUGGAACUGCAGUUGAUACUGGUUAACUAGAGUACAGUAGAGGAGGGUAGAAUUUCUUGUGUAGCAGUGAAAUGCGUAGAUAUAAGAAGGAAUACCAGUGGCGAAGGCGGCCCUCUGGACUGAUACUGACGCUGAGGUGCGAAAGCGUGGGGAGCAAACGGGAUUAGAUACCCCAGUAGUCC
rnacentral:rRNA from 1 species